AUUUAAUCAACGAUCCAACCGUACGGAUAUUAACAUAUGUUGAUUUUAUUCAUGUGAAAAAAUAAUUAAAAGAUUUGAAAUUUGACUUGCAUGACCUUAGAAGAAAAAUCCAGUAAGAAGUCAUACUCCUUAAAAUGAGAUUGAUUCCGGAUUAACAAAAUAAAUUAUUAAAAUUACUUUUUCAAUGGUCCAACUAUACGGAUGUUAUGAUAUAUUAAUUUUAGUCAUGUGAAAAACAAUUUAAAAGAUUUGAAUUUGACUUGCAUGAUUUUGUAAGAAAAAUUUAUUAAGAGAAGUAGUAUUCCUAAUAUAACAUUCAUUCCUGAUUAACAAAAUAAAUUAUUAAAAUUAUUUUUUGAACGAUCAAACCGUACGGAUGUUCGAAUAUAUUGAUUUUAAUCACGUGAAAAAAUNAUGGAAAUUUUUUGAAUAAUAAUUGACUAGUUUUAGUUUAAAUUUUAAAUAUUUGUAAAUUUUUAAAUAUGAAUAAAAAUAUAUUUAUUUUAGGCGUGUGAAAUAAUUUAAAAAAUUUAAAAUUUAAUGUGCAUGACUUUGUAAGAAAUAUUCAAUGAGAAGUACUACUCCUUAAAAUGCGAUUCAUUCCUAAUUAAUAUAAUAANACCGAAAUCGGUCAAAUUUACAUUUUCGACCAGCGAUGGUCAAAUUUGCAUUCAAAUGAUUCGAAUUAUUUUGUGAGGGAAAUUUGCCGCCCAAAGUUAAAUUUGACCGCCAGCGGUCAAUUUUAACUAAAUUUGACCGCCAGCGGUCAAAUUUAUUGCCAUGUCAGCAAUCCGCGUGAAACACAUCUAAUGGUCCUUAUUUAACAUACCAACACAACAAUCCAACGGUCUAAAAUCAUCACAACAUAUCCUUAUCCUAUAUAUACAUACAAACACACAUUAUAACCUAAAUACACUCUCCAUUCUCCAAAUCUCUCUCUCUCCCCCCCUCCCCAUCUUCAUCUCCAUGACUCCAUCUCCCCCUCCCCAUCUCCAUGACUCCAUGACUCCAUCUUCCCCUCUUCCCCUCUUUUACAUACACAUUCAUAACCAUAUAUAUUUAUACAUACACAAUCUCUAUCUACAAUAACAUGAUUUGUACAAGAAUAUCACCAAGAAAAUUAACUCGUGGAAUGGUAAUUUGGGAGGAAUUCCGGCAACUCAAGCAACUCCGGCGUCCGAGAAACAACUCCGUCGACCAAAAAUCUCAAGUCACAAUUUCCGUCCAAAUUGAUAAGGAACAAAGUGGAACUACAAAAUCCAAUUAGGAACUUAUAUUAAAUUUGUAACAUUUCUUUUGUAAAUAGAAAAAUUCUUAAUGUACAUGAAUUUCAUUACGAUUUUUUUUUUGUUAAUAAGGUAUAUAAUAAUUUUGAGAAUUAUGUGAUAUAUAUGUUGAUUAGUAAGAUAAUAUUAUGUGAAUUUACUAAAUAAAAUAUUAAAAUUCGCACACAAGAAUAUACCACAAAGUAGCAAAAUACAUUCUGUCCAGGUUUAAAUUUGACCAGAUAUGGUCAAAUUUGAAAUUUGACCGCAUUCGGUCAAAUUUAUAAAUUUGACCGAAUGCGGUCAAAUUUAAUAAAUUGUAGGCGGCAAAUUGAAAAAAAUUCAAAUUUCAAAUUUUCAAGCGGGAAAUUGAAAAAAAUUCAAAUUUUAAAAUUUUCAAAAUUUUGGUCAAAUUUAGUCGGUCAAAAAUAUUCGGUCAAAUUUAGCUAAUUUUGACCGAAUUUGCUAAAUUCGACGACGUUAUGACUGACCGACAUGAAUCGGUCAAAUUUAACUAAAUUUGACCGAUUUUUUCGGUCAAAUUUACCCGUUUUUCUUGUAGUGGAUUUAGCGUUAACAUGUUGUAUUUUACAAGAUAUUAGAUAACUCGUAGAUGAUGGUGGUUUAACGGUGGUUUGCGGUGGUGAUUUGCGGUUUUAAUAUUUUUGACCAAAAUUUGGCAUAAUUUAAGAUUUCAGUUUUGUAAAAUUGUAUUUAAUUUUCAGUUUUUAAUUGACUGCGUUUAAUGCUUUUAAUUACUCUAUUUUGGUUGUAAUAGAAGGAAAUUGUAACAUGCAAUAUUUCUGAUGUGCUAGAAAUAAUAUAUUUAAAUCGCAAGCGCACGAUCACCUUAAUCCUUAACCUAGGCGAAUUAGAACUAAUUAAUGUGAAGAGGGUUUGUAUUAAAAAACUAAUUUUAAUUAUUAGAAACUUAAUUUAAAAUCAAAUCUAAUUAAUCUUAAUUAACCAAAAUUAACUACCCAAAUAGCUUCAAAACAAUCUUUUAAACAUAAAAGUAGUCCAAAGAAAAUAAAACCAAAGCCAGUGAAUCAUGAAAAGAAAAUUCAAGCCAUGACAAAACGAAAUCUAUUAACAAAACCCUGAAGAUUCAUGUUCGGCGAAAAGAAAACUAACUAAAACCAAGCUAAUAAUGAACAAGAGCAAACAAUUCAAAUUCUGGCCAGGGGAAAUUAAAACACUCGAAAUCAGUCAGCCACGAGAAUACAAAAACAAAACACCAAAGACUUACACUUGCGAUUAAUAAAACAAACUAUAAGACAAACAGCUUGACACCCAUUUCUAAAACACCAACAAAACGCAAGAACAGUAAACAGGAAACAUACAAAGCAAUCAACGAAAUUGGAAACAACUGAACUCGGUGCAGAACAGACUCAGAACUCAGGCAACGACUCGAUCGACUCAAUGACUCGAAAAGAAGACAAAACUGAACUCAGAAUCGAAACAAACAAAAACUCAGCAGAUGAACUACAAGACUCGAAACCAAACUCAACCAACGCAGCAGAACAAGAACUCUGCAACACUAGAGCAAACUACGACGCAAUCAGCAGAAACUCGGUACUGACUCGCCACUAAACUCAACGAAAAACAGACUCAUGACUAAAAUCGAUGAGCUCGACUCGGACUACAGAACACACGCAAAGCAUCAAAAACAGACUCGACUAGGAAACUACACAACUCGGCUGAACUACGGCUAAUGCUAGACUAAAAUCAAAUGACUCAGCUUCAAUCGACUAAUCAAACAAACGACUAUGCAAACACUGGACACGAAACUGUUGACAUAACAUAGAAUCUAUUUAUUCUGCAUACAUGCAGCAGCUCGUGUAUAGCAUUACACAGCUCAUGUACAGCUCAUAGUUAGUUAGAAAGUUAGUUGUGGUUUGUGUAUAUAUAGACUUUCUUUCCACGUUCUGUAACACACCUUUUAUGCAAUAUAUGUUCUCUGAGUUUUCUUCUCAAUAUUCUNUUAAUCCUUAACCUAGGCGAAUUAGAACUAAUUAAUGUGAAGAGGGUUUGUAUUAAAAAACUAAUUUUAAUUAUUAGAAACUUAAUUUAAAAUCAAAUCUAAUUAAUCUUAAUUAACCAAAAUUAACUACCCAAAUAGCUUCAAAACAAUCUUUUAAACAUAAAAGUAGUCCAAAGAAAAUAAAACCAAAGCCAGUGAAUCAUGAAAAGAAAAUUCAAGCCAUGACAAAACGAAAUCUAUUAACAAAACCCUGAAGAUUCAUGUUCGGCGAAAAGAAAACUAACUAAAACCAAGCUAAUAAUGAACAAGAGCAAACAAUUCAAAUUCUGGCCAGGGGAAAUUAAAACACUCGAAAUCAGUCAGCCACGAGAAUACAAAAACAAAACACCAAAGACUUACACUUGCGAUUAAUAAAACAAACUAUAAGACAAACAGCUUGACACCCAUUUCUAAAACACCAACAAAACGCAAGAACAGUAAACAGGAAACAUACAAAGCAAUCAACGAAAUUGGAAACAACUGAACUCGGUGCAGAACAGACUCAGAACUCAGGCAACGACUCGAUCGACUCAAUGACUCGAAAAGAAGACAAAACUGAACUCAGAAUCGAAACAAACAAAAACUCAGCAGAUGAACUACAAGACUCGAAACCAAACUCAACCAACGCAGCAGAACAAGAACUCUGCAACACUAGAGCAAACUACGACGCAAUCAGCAGAAACUCGGUACUGACUCGCCACUAAACUCAACGAAAAACAGACUCAUGACUAAAAUCGAUGAGCUCGACUCGGACUACAGAACACACGCAAAGCAUCAAAAACAGACUCGACUAGGAAACUACACAACUCGGCUGAACUACGGCUAAUGCUAGACUAAAAUCAAAUGACUCAGCUUCAAUCGACUAAUCAAACAAACGACUAUGCAAACACUGGACACGAAACUGUUGACAUAACAUAGAAUCUAUUUAUUCUGCAUACAUGCAGCAGCUCGUGUAUAGCAUUACACAGCUCAUGUACAGCUCAUAGUUAGUUAGAAAGUUAGUUGUGGUUUGUGUAUAUAUAGACUUUCUUUCCACGUUCUGUAACACACCUUUUAUGCAAUAUAUGUUCUCUGAGUUUUCUUCUCAAUAUUCUCUCUCUACACUGCUGAAUAGAACUAGGUUUGACAGAAACAGCUGCUCGGAAUUGACAGAAUACACAGAACUUAAAACAAAUCUCAGACAAGACAAGCAACUCGACGCCAAGCAAAACACAGACUCGAAUCUGCAAAAACGAAACAAAGAAACGACUCGGGGCACAGAAGAAACAACUCGACUCGGACAAAAGCAAACUCAAAUAGGACCGAAAUAAACACAACUAAAGCAGAUAAAUCGCAGCCACCACAGAACUCGGUGACUCUGACCUCGAAGAAACUAAGUACGAAAACACAAACUCAAAAGACCAAAACCAGCGAAAACUAAAGAAAAUAAGCUGCUCGAGAAUUCAAACUAAUGAAAACAAGGCCUCGGUGGAAACAAAACUCGGGGAAAACAGAGGAAGGGGGUGUAUUCAUUUUUGUGCAAACAAAACAAAAAAAAAACUAUAUAAAAUAACUGAGUAAGUGAAGAACAGGGGUGUGUUUAGUUAACAAGAAACAGGGGCGGUGAGUUUUAAAUUUCGAAGCAGGGUACUGGGUUUAAGAAACAAAGCUAAUAAUUCGGGGUUUUAACUUAUUUUAACAAAGCAAGCAACUACUUAAUAACGCAUAACAACUGAAAUAAUUUUGGGGCUUUAAAUAUAAAUCCUAACACAAAUUAAUUUUGUGCUAGGACUAAGUUAACUAUUUCAAGAGAUCACAAAUCUACACUAAUCACAAGCUUAAUGAUUCUUCAUUUCCCAAAAGCUUAAAAGCAUGUGGUGGUAUUUAGAAGAGUCAUUCAACUUGGAGAACAUAAAUUAAAACGACAAUACAAGAUUAAGCUAAAAGAGAUUUGCAUAGAAAUUAAAAAGUGUAUACAAGCUUGGAAAGAAAAUUGGGGCUAGCAAAAUGUAAAUCUAUCUAGGAUACUAACUAUAGAAAUGACUAGGUAGAAAAGGUGGGUAGGUAGCUAGGUAGGUCUUUACAAAUAAAGAGAAGGG
rnacentral:lncRNA from 1 species